UGUAAUUUCCAAGAAUGACUAAUGUCUCGCUGAAGUUAAUUCUGCGGAUUGAUGGCCUAAUUGCCAAUGUGGCUGAGGGGAAAAGCACCCAACUGACUGGAUCAGAAGUUCCUGUACUGUGGUGUCUUCAGAGGACCAUGUGAGGGUCCACACCCACCACAAGAAGGACAAGACAAAGCACAGGAUCUAGUGGAAACAGCACUGCAUUUCAGCAGUUAAGGAAACAUGGCGAUGGUGAAGCAACUGUUGCAUGGACAAGUAAUGCUGGAAUUCAGAGCUGACAGAAAUAUAAUUAUUGAAAGAAAUAUAGGUCUAAAAGUAAUGAGAGAGAGGAAGGUGAAAGCUGGUUUGGCAAACCCAGAAGGAACGAUGCUCCAGUACCAGAAAGGCUGUGGGAGGGAUAACACAGCCAAGCCCUCCCUAAACCACCUUUAUCUAGAGCUCAACGAGCAGCAAGUGCAGAAGGUGCAAAAUCCACACAGGCAGAAGAUGGAUUAAACUGAUUCCUACAGAGACUUUAUAGGACAACUGGAAACUCUAAGGAAGGUAAAAUCUGACCACCAGCAGGUGUGAUUUAUGAAUGAAGAAAGAGUUUGAGCAG